rnacentral:tRNA from 1 species
ACUUCUAAAGGAAAGUAGAUAU